rnacentral:rRNA from 1 species
AUAGCGUAUAUUAAAGUUGUUGCGGUUAAAAAGCUCGUAGUUGAAUCUGUGUCCCACGCUGCCGGUUCGCCGCUCGCGGUGUUUAACUGGCAUGAUUGUGGGACGUCCUACCGGUGGGUUUAGCCUCUCGGGGCGGCCCAACUAAUAUCCCAUCGCGGUGCUCUUCACUGAGUGUCGAGGUGGGCCGGUACGUUUACUUUGAACAAAUUAGAGUGCUUAAAGCAGGCUAUUUUCGCCUGAAUACUGUGUGCAUGGAAUAAUGGAAUAGGACCUCGGUUCUAUUUUGUUGGUUUUCGGAACCCCGAGGUAAUGAUUAAUAGGGACAGAUGGGGGCAUUCGUAUUGCGACGUUAGAGGUGAAAUUCUUGGAUCGUCGCAAGACGGACAGAAGCGAAAGCAUUUGCCAAAAAUGUUUUCUUUAAUCAAGAACGAAAGUUAGAGGUUCGAAGGCGAUCAGAUACCGCCCUAGUUCUAACCAUAAACGAUGCCAGCUAGCGAUCCGCCGAAGUUCCUCCGAUGACUCGGCGGGCAGCUUCCGGGAAACCAAAGCUUUUGGGUUCCGGGGGAAGUAUGGUUGCAAAGCUGAAACUUAAAGGAAUUGACGGAAGGGCACCACCAGGAGUGGAGCCUGCGGCUUAAUUUGACUCAACACGGGAAACCUCACCAGGCCCGGACACCGGAAGGAUUGACAGAUUGAGAGCUCUUUCUUGAUUCGGUGGGUGGUGGUGCAUGGCCGUUCUUAGUUGGUGGAGCGAUUUGUCUGGUUAAU